GUAUUCCUUGCAGCAUGCAUUUAACUACUAUGCAAGUAUUGACCGUCAGCACUAAUAUAUUAAUACUUUUAUGUACUUCGUGCAUGACUACUAGUCCCCACGGAUAAUAUAUA
rfam:Papio anubis isolate 1X1155 chromosome 6, whole genome shotgun sequence.